rnacentral:rRNA from 1 species
AUUGAACGCUGGCGGCAGGCCUAACACAUGCAAGUCGAGCGGAUGAAGGGAGCUUGCUCCUGGAUUCAGCGGCGGACGGGUGAGUAAUGCCUAGGAAUCUGCCUGGUAGUGGGGGAUAACGUCCGGAAACGGGCGCUAAUACCGCAUACGUCCUGAGGGAGAAAGUGGGGAUCUUCGGACCUCACGCUAUCAGAUGGGCCUAGGUCGGAUUAGCUAGUUGGUGGGGUAAAGGCCUACCAAGGCGACGAUCCGUAACUGGUCUGAGAGGAUGAUCAGUCACACUGGAACUGAGACACGGUCCAGACUCCUACGGGAGGCAGCAGUGGGGAAUAUUGGACAAUGGGCGAAAGCCUGAUCCAGCCAUGCCGCGUGUGUGAAGAAGGUCUUCGGAUUGUAAAGCACUUUAAGUUGGGAGGAAGGGCAGUAAGUUAAUACCUUGCUGUUUUGACGUUACCAACAGAAUAAGCACCGGCUAACUUCGUG